UUCAAAGGGCCAAAGGAGAAAAAGCCUCCAGUAAAAAGCACAAGGGAAUUUAUUUAUUUUGUCUAGUUGACUGGUCUUUCAGAAAUAAUAAAGAAUCCGUUUCAGAACUGACCAGUAGAUGUCAGUGUUUGACAAGCACAUAGCUGCUUGCUGAGGCUCCCGUAUUAGCAUCUGGCUCCAUUUCAGCUAGCAAGUUUCUCUGCAAAGGAGAGGGAGUUUGUGUAACUGAAGCAAAGAUUUUGCUUUCUCACUUCUCGCCCUGUCUUGCGGAAAACAGCAUGAUGCUCUGGAAUCUUCAGAAGAGAGCAAAUGAGUAAAGAUGUAAGGAAAUGAGGCAAAGCAAUGGAAAAACAGCCUUGAGCAAGGCUGCUACAAACACCAGCGCACCGCCAUGAUUGGGUUGCUCAGUGUUCUGGGUAACCCCUUCAUAGGAUUUCAAUUUCACACAAGUAAGUGUGGGCCAGCCUCAUCCAAUCAGUUCAACGUCUUAUUAGCAGAAGCAGAGGUUUCCUCAAGAGGAAGGCAUUCAGCUUCAAGACUGUGACACAGAAAUUCUGCAUGCCUUCCCUGUAGAUUUUGGACCUGCCAGCCUCCACAGUUAUGUGAGCCAAUUCCUUAAA
rnacentral:lncRNA from 1 species